UACGUAGGGUGCAAGCGUUAAUCGGAAUUACUGGGCGUAAAGCGUGCGCAGGCGGUUCUAUAAGACAGAUGUGAAAUCCCCGGGCUCAACCUGGGAACUGCAUUUGUGACUGUAGAGCUGGAGUACGGUAGAGGGGGAUGGAAUUCCGCGUGUAGCAGUGAAAUGCGUAGAUAUGCGGAGGAACACCGAUGGCGAAGGCAAUCCCCUGGGCCAAUACUGACGCUCAUGCACGAAAGCGUGGGGAGCAAACAGG
rnacentral:rRNA from 1 species